UUAACUUUUACAGGAUGCAGGAUUUUGAUGACAUGCACGUGGCCUAUAGAGAUAAUGCUCAGAGGGAGCGCUACAUUGCUUUGUAUCAGCGCCCUAUGGCACCCACACGUUAUCCUGAUCAGCACUGUAUGGAGGCACUGGGUAUCGAGCCGAGUAUCCGAUUCCUUAGCCACCAACUUCACUGGGAUGAGUUUGUUGAUGACUUGAG
rnacentral:lncRNA from 1 species